UUGAACGCUGGCGGCAUGCUUUACACAUGCAAGUCGAGCGGCAGCGCGGGGGCAACCCUGGCGGCGAGCGGCGAACGGGUGAGUAACAUAUCGGAACGUACCCAGUAGUGGGGGAUAACUAUCCGAAAGGAUAGCUAAUACCGCAUACGCCCUGAGGGGGAAAGUGGGGGAUCGCAAGACCUCGCGCGAUAGGAGCGGCCGAUAUCGGAUUAGCUUGUUGGUGAGGUAAAGGCUCACCAAGGCGACGAUCCGUAGCUGGUCUGAGAGGACGACCAGCCACACUGGAACUGAGACACGGUCCAGACUCCUACGGGAGGCAGCAGUGGGGAAUUUUGGACAAUGGGGGCAACCCUGAUCCAGCCAUUCCGCGUGAGUGAAGAAGGCCUUCGGGUUGUAAAGCUCUUUCAGCAGGAACGAAACGGUGGCUACUAAUACUAGCUACUAAUGACGGUACCUGAAGAAGAAGCACCGGCUAACUACGU
rnacentral:rRNA from 1 species